ACAUUAGUCAUGUGAUUGGAAGAGUUUCAUUCACUUUCUGUGUUUUCAGGCUUUGGCAUGAAACAGGUGGAGGACUGAAAUGAGUUCUGUGAUUUGUAUUGGAACUAUAUCACUGUUUUGGCUUUAUUUGUCAUUGUAGUGACUCUAGUUAAGACUGUAGCUGCAUUUCUGAGAGUUUAGCUCUAUAUAAACCUGAAAUACAAAUGCUUCAAUUGCACUGAGCAGAGAUACUUGACAGGAAAUUCGUUAUCAGAUUCAUGUAUAUUUCCCUUUCUGUCCACUGAGUGCUUUUUAUUCUUUCAGGAUUUGAUCCUACUCUCUGUCAAUGAUUAUGUAGAGUAAGUUCUAUAGAGGAGUUACAGGCAGCAAACAAGGAGGAAAAGCAGUAAUUUUUGAUUCUUGUUUUGUUCUAAGCAUGAAUAAUCGGGAAUGAUGGAAGAGCUCCAAUCAUGCUGCUGUUAGAAGCAUUCACCUUCAGCUAGUUCAGAGUAAUCCCUUUACUUGAUUUUGGGGCAGCACUGAUGGACCUGGGCAGUUCAGCUGCAUCCAAGAUAACACAGUGAGGAUGUGGACUUCUAAAGGAAUUAGAUUUCUUAUUGUUAAAUGUGAUCUACUAAAUUGACCUUGUCUGUGUAGAGCAAAAAGCUGAGUUGCCCAAGAGUAUAGAUUUUCUGUAAACCUCUCUUUUUCUGUGCUUCUGAUUUCACAGCAUGAGUUGCCAGCUGAAGGAUAAUAUUUUCUAAUUCAUAUGAAAGUUUUAUACCUCUGUUCAGAUAUUCUACUUGGUGAAAAUGCUAACAAGACCAUUUUCAUUUUUAAAUCGGGAAAGUAUUUUCUGUGGUUGCCUGGAGAAAUGUCUCUUUUCUACUUAAAGUACUGAAGGAAAUAAACCUUGCUAUUCUGAGUAGCAACAUUUAUUAUUUUAAGCAUGUGUUGGGUGGUGUGUUAGAACACUUUAAUAAAAAUUAUGUGAAGUCUUAUAUUUUCAUUGUCUUGAAGACUACGCUGAGGGCAGAAGGUAAGCUUGCUUUUUCUUUCCAGUUCUCAAAAUCUAACAUGCUAACAUACACUUAUUACUUAGUGGUGGUCACAUAGCUUGCACUUCUAGGACUAAGGUAAAAUUAAUCUGCAAGUGUAAUUCUCUAUCAAGCCCAAGUCCUUCAACUUUAUGCUUAGAGAUAUUAAAAUUCAUAGUUUUAUGCUUUCCCAAACUGCAAUGUAUAAAGUGCUUAUGUAGUUUCUUCUUUAUUGUUCAGAGAAUUUUAUUGGUGCUGUUCAGCCAGUCUCUAGUGAUUCACAGUACAGCCUUCCAAACACUAACUUACCAUUAGCAUCGCUUACUUUCAUGACUUUGAGCACAUUUUCUAAUACUGCUGACAGAGGAAAGACGGAGAUGUAAGUGAUGUUAUGAGAUUGAAGUCAGACCCUUGCGCGAUAAAGAAUGCUGAAUUCUGCUUUUUCUUUCAUACCCCAGCAUAAAGUCUAAAUGAGGAUAAGAAAUGUACAUGAUGGUAUCUUCAUUUGGAGAGAACAGCCUCUCUCUACACUUUUACAGCUUCCCAGAAGAUAUGCCAGUAAAACUGAAUUGGAGCAUGUGAACGAAAAUGUUGCAGAAAACCUAGUGGGACCAAAUGGGAGCUUGUAAUACAGGAACUCACUGCAACCUUCUGUGGGUCUCAAAACUCAGAACAAUAAAAACCUCUGCAGAUACUGUAAAGCAGAGUAACAAAGAAGAGCCAAGUCACCUUGACUGGAGUGUGAAGUAUAACUCAUGGACUCCUUGUGCUGGUUGGAUGUUCUCUGUGAGGCUGUUCUCUGUUCCAGUGGUGGCUCUUUGCAACUGGGAAGGAAUGGGAUGCAAUGAUUCUAUAUUCACACAGUUUCUCUUGGUGCUGAACACUGCACAUGAGAAGUGUAAGUGGAAAAGGAAUUUCCUCAAUGGCAAAGGGAAUUCCAAAGUAGAGUAAGGUUGAG
rnacentral:lncRNA from 7 species